GCAUUGGUGGUAUAGUGGUAAGCAUAGUUGCUUUUUGUUAGCAGUUGACCUGGGUUCGAUUCCCAGCCAAUGCA